CCUACGGGGGGCUGCAGUGGGGAAUAUUGGGCAAUGGGCGAAAGCCUGACCCAGCAACGCCGCGUGAAGGAAGAAGGCUUUCGGGUUGUAAACUUCUUUUGGCAGGGACGAAGAAAGUGACGGUACCUGCAGAAUAAGCUCCGGCUAACUACGUGCCAGCAGCCGCGGUAAUACGUAGGGAGCGAGCGUUAUCCGGAUUUACUGGGUGUAAAGGGCGCGUAGGCGGGAAUGCAAGUCAGAUGUGAAAUCUCCGGGCUCAACCCGGAAACUGCAUUUGAAACUGUAUUUCUUGAGUGAUGGAGAGGCAAGUGGAAUUCCUAGUGUAGCGGUGAAAUGCGUAGAUAUUAGGAGGAACACCAGUGGCGAAGGCGACUUGCUGGACAUUAACUGACGCUGAGGCGCGAAAGCGUGGGGAGCAAACAGGAUUAGAUACCCCGGUAGUC
rnacentral:rRNA from 1 species